CACUGCACUCCAGCCUGGACAACAAGAGCAAGAUUCCGUCUCAAAAAAAAAGCUUAAAAAAAGAAAAAUAAUAAGGUAUGUGAGGGGAGGCUCUGGUGGCUGGCAGAGAGGAAAAUGAUGGGGAAUGAACCAGGAACUCAGCACGGACAUGUAAAAAGGGGUCUAGGAAACUGUGCAUGGGUUUCACCCAGGACAAGCAGGCUACAUAAGAAAGGGCAUUGAAGUGUCCGAUAAACUGGAAGUGCCAUGAGGGCUGACUACAUCAGCUGGAUUCACCGCAAUAUCCCACACCUAUCAACUAGUAGACACAAAAUUAUUUCUAGAAUGAAUGACAAUGAAUGAAUAGAUGAAAAAGGUUGAAAUUCUAGAAGCAGAGGACACUGAGUUAAAGGGUUCUAGUUUUCAAAAGCCUGCUGCCAUGCAGGCAGCUAGGUAGUGAGUAUGAAACACACAAACCAUGUGGCUAAUUCAGGGAUAUUUACUCCAAGAGUUGGGGCCAUAACUAGUAAAUCUGAAAUUGCUGCAUAAUGAAGUAAGUAUGUACAGGAGUGCGGUUUCCUGGAAAAGGUUCUCCUCUGAUAAGAACAUGGAUUUUUAUAUCCUUAAAGGUUUACAAACCAUCUUGAUAAUUAAUGACUUUCCUGCCCAUAUAGUUGAUAUUCGAGAUUUUCCCAUUUCAAAGAAUAUCUUAUAUAAAUGUGUAACAUCAAUAUUUUACUCACCAGGUAUUUUUGUUUGUUUGUUGUUAGCUCUCCAGGCUAAUAAAGACAAGGUUGAGUAUUUACAGUCCUUCCACCACUACAAGUUGCUACUCUCAGACUGGUCAGAGGAGACCCCACCCUUUUACAAAAAAAAACAAAUGUAUCGGGUGUGGUGGCUCACACCUAUAAUUCCAGCACUUUGGGAGGCUGAGGCAGGUGGAUCACUCAGGAGAUCAAGACCAUCCUGGCUAACACAGUGAAACCCUGUCUCUACUAAAAAUACAAAAAAAUUAGCCGGGCAUGUGGCAGGCGCCUGUGCUCCCAUCUACUUGAGGGGCUAAGACAAGAGACUCCCUUGAACCCAGGAGGUAGAGGUUGCAGUGAGCAGAGAUCUCGCCACUGCACUCUAAUUUGGACAACAGAGCGAGAUUCUGUCUCAAAAAAAAAAAAGAAAAGAAAAGAAAAAAGCUGAACUUGUCAUUGAUGCUCUGCUGUCUGAUUUGUUUGAUUCUGCCUCAUACCUUUAACAUUAAUUGGAGUUACCAGAAGCUACUGUUAGGAAAUGAAACAUUGUUCUGUGUGUGUGUGUGUGUAUGUGUGUGUCUGUCUCUCAGUUUUGCUCUUGUUGACCAGGCUGGAGUACAGUGG